GACGAACGCUGGCGGCGUGCCUAAUACAUGCAAGUCGAGCGGAACUGGGGGAGCUUGCUCCUUCCAGUUUAGCGGCGGACGGGUGAGUAACACGUGGGCAACCUGCCCUGCAGAUCGGGAUAACUCCGGGAAACCGGUGCUAAUACCGAAUAGUCUGGCGCCUCUCCUGAGGCGCUACGGAAAGACGGUUUCGGCUGUCACUGCAGGAUGGGCCCGCGGCGCAUUAGCUAGUUGGUGGGGUAACGGCCCACCAAGGCGACGAUGCGUAGCCGACCUGAGAGGGGGACCGGCCACACUGGGACUGAGACACGGCCCAGACUCCUACGGGAGGCAGCAGUAGGGAAUCUUCCGCAAUGGACGCAAGUCUGACGGAGCAACGCCGCGUGAGUGGCGAAGGUUUUCGGAUCGUAAAACUCUGUUGUGAGGGAAGAACACGUACCAACUAACUAUUGGUACCUUGACGGUACCUCACCAGAAAGCCACGGCUAACUACGUGCCAGCCGCCGCCGUAA
rnacentral:rRNA from 1 species